rnacentral:rRNA from 1 species
GACGAACGCUGGCGGCGUGCUUAACACAUGCAAGUCGAACGGAAAGGCCCGGCGUUUGUGGGGUGCUCGAGUGGCGAACGGGUGAGUAACACGUGAGUAACCUGCCCUUGACUUUGGGAUAACUUCAGGAAACUGGGGCUAAUACCGGAUAGGAGCUCCUGCUGCAUGGUGGGGGUUGGAAAGUUUCGGCGGUUGGGGAUGGACUCGCGGCUUAUCAGCUUGUUGGUGGGGUAGUGGCUUACCACGGCUUUGACGGGUAGCCUGCCUGAGAGGGUGACCGGCCACAUUGGGACUGCGAUACGGCCCAGAAUCCUACGGGAGGCAGCAGUGGAGAAUAUUGCACAAUGGGCGGAAGCCUGAUGCAGAAACGCCGCGUGCGGGAUGACCGCCUUCGGGUUGUAAACCGCUUUCGCCUGUGACGAAGCGUGCGUGACGGUACUGGGUCAAGAAGCCCCGGCUAACUACGUG